GAUCCUGGCUCAGGAUGAACGCUAGCGACAGGCCUAACACAUGCAAGUCGAGGGGCAGCGAGAGGUAGCAAUACCUUUGCCGGCGACCGGCGCACGGGUGAGUAACACGUAUGCAAUCCACCUGUAACAGGGGGAUAACCCGGAGAAAUCCGGACUAAUACCCCAUAAUAUGGGCGCUCCGCAUGGAGAGCCCAUUAAAGAGAGCAAUUUGUUGUA
rnacentral:rRNA from 1 species